rnacentral:tRNA from 2 species
AUCUGUAUAGUAUAGAAGUAUAUUU